rnacentral:rRNA from 1 species
GAUAAACGCUAGCGGCAGGCCUAACACAUGCAAGUCGAGGGGCAUCGGGUGAAGAUAGCGAUAUCUUCUGCCGGCGACCGGCGGACGGGUGCGUAACGCGUAUGUAACCUACCAUUAACAGGGGGAUAAUCCGGAGAAAUUUGGUCUAAUACCCCAUAAUAUCGAUAAGGGCAUCCUUUUUGGUUGAAAGUUUCGGCGGUUAAUGAUGGACAUGCGUUGUAUUAGAUAGUUGGUGAGGUAACGGCUCACCAAGUCUACGAUACAUAGGGGGACUGAGAGGUUAACCCCCCACACUGGUACUGAGACACGGACCAGACUCCUACGGGAGGCAGCAGUGAGGAAUAUUGGUCAAUGGGCGGAAGCCUGAACCAGCCAUGCCGCGUGCAGGAUGACGGCUCUAUGAGUUGUAAACUGCUUUUGCAGGGGGGUAAACCCGGGUACGAGUACCCGUCUGAAAGUACCUUGCGAAUAAGGAUCGGCUAACUCCGUGCCAGCAGCCGCGGUAAUACGGAGGAUCCGAGCGUUAUCCGGAUUUAUUGGGUUUAAAGGGUGCGUAGGCUGUCAGAUAAGUUAGAGGUGAAAUCCCGCAGCUCAACUGUGGAACUGCCUCUGAUACUGUCUGACUGGAGAGUGGUUGCUGUAGGCGGAAUGUGUGGUGUAGCGGUGAAAUGCUUAGAGAUCACACAGAACACCGAUUGCGAAGGCAGCUUACAAAGCCACAUCUGACGCUGAUGCACGAAAGCGUGGGGAGCAAACAGGAUUAGAUACCCUGGUAGUCCACGCCGUAAACGAUGAUAGCUCGUUGCCGGCGAUACACAGUCGGUGACUUAGCGAAAGCGUUAAGCUAUCCACCUGGGGAGUACGUUCGCAAGAAUGAAACUCAAAGGAAUUGACGG